rnacentral:rRNA from 1 species
UAGCGAAAUUCCUUGUCGGGUAAGUUCCGACCCGCACGAAAGGCGUAAUGAUUUGAGCGCUGUCUCGACAAUGCAUCCGGUGAAAUUGAAGUACCAGUGAAGAUGCUGGUUACCCGCGCCAGGACGGAAAGACCCCAUGGAGCUUUACUCCAGUUUGAUACUGGGAUUCGGUACUGCAUGUACAGGAUAGGUGGGAGACGAAGAAGGAUGGACGCCAGUCUGUCCGGAGUCGCUGUUGGGAUACCACCCCUGUAGUACUGGGUUUCUAACCAGUUGCCAUGAACUGGCAAUGGGACAAUGUCAGGCGGGGAGUUUGACUGGGGCGGUCGCCUCCGAAAGGGUAUCGGAGGCGCUCAAAGGUUCCCUCAGAAUGGUCGGAAACCAUUCGAAGAGUGCAAAGGCAGAAGGGAGCUUGACUGCGACACCGACGGGUGGAGCAGGUACGAAAGUAGGACUUAGUGAUCCGGUGGUAUAAAGUGGGAUUGCCAUCGCUCAACGGAUAAAAGCUACCCUGGGGAUAACAGGCUUAUCACUCCCAAGAGUUCACAUCGACGGAGUGGUUUGGCACCUCGAUGUCGGCUCAUCGCAUCCUGGGGCUGUAGUAGGUCCCAAGGGUUGGGCUGUUCGCCCAUUAAAGCGGUACGCGAGCUGGGUUCAGAACGUCGUGAGACAGUUCGGUCCCUAUCCGGCGUGGGCGUAGGAUAUUUGAGAGGAGCUGUCCUUAGUACGAGAGGACCGGGAUGGACUGACCUCUGGUGUACCGGUUGAACCGCCAGGUUCACGGCCGGGUAGCCAAGUCGGGAAGGGAUAAACGCUGAAGGCAUCUAAGCGUGAAGCCCCCCUCAAGAUGAGAUAUCCCAUUCGAAAGAAGUAAGACCCCUUGAAGACGACGAGGUAGAUAGGGCAGGGGUGGAAGUGCCGUAAGGCAUGGAGCUGACUGUUACUAAUCGGUCGAGGGCUUGACCUA